CUAAUCUGGCAAAUUUCAAUUUGAAAAUGGAACGUUCUAUAUUUGACCCUGUAACUUUCCAAAACACCAUAAAACAUGUUAAUGGGGGGUACUGUUGUACUCGUGAGACAUCGCUGAUUACAAAUAUGUGCAUUUUUUUUGCAGUAAAACCUAACAGUAUUAUGACAUUAACAGCUAAAAUGUCAGAUGGAAAUACAAAUUUUAAAUACAUUUUUAUUUUCUCAUAUUUUUUAAAAUUUUAUUCAUAAUAAAUUAUGUUCCAUAUAUGAAUAGUUGAUGAUAAAUGAAAGCCCUGUUUCUCCUGAACAAAAUGAUAUAUAAUAAGUGUGGGUGCACUUAAUGUGACAGCGGUGACUUACGGUUGAACAGACAUAUAGUGCAAAUUCCAGUUUUUGUUUACGUUUUGUUUUGAUCAGAACGUGUACUAUUGACUCCGUCCUGAAGGGGUUAAUCCAACUAUCUUUCUCCCCCCAAUAUUAUUUAUUCUUUUUUUUUUAUAUUGACAAAAAUGGACAACAUAAAAUCAAACAUUGAAAGGACAGUGCUUACAUAAAUUUGAUAGUACCGUUAAUUGUAACCAGAUUUGGCAAACAUUACUAUUGCAUCAAAAGUUAAGUUAUUAGCAUUAGAAACUCUAUACAAGAUUGGCUAAUAUGUUAAGUUACAAUCAAGUAAUCCAGAUAUAAACAUGGUUCUAAUACCUAUAGAGUUAGAUGAUAUCAUGGGUCAAUAGACAAUAAUCAUAU